UCAGUGCAAAGCAUCCUUUUGGGUCUUUUAUUUGUUUGUGAUUUCCUCUCUGGCUUCAAUGAGUUUGGUGUGCUCCUGUUAAGGAAGCAGCGUGUUUUUAUCUGGAAAUUUGGGGUGGUUUGCUUUGUUUAGGGUGCUUUUUCCCCCACUGACUCGGGCCUUCCGUGCAUAGUCCGUGUUGUCCUACAGGACUGUUCUGGUUCUGGGUCAGAGAGAGAGAAGGGAAGUGGCUUUUCCUCAUCUGGAAUGUUUCCAAGCAGAAGUGGGACAUUGUCCUGCCCCUCCCCAAAGCACUGCAGGCACCUGGGAGUAGCUCAGGGCUGGCCCAGUUCUCUGAGACAGAACCAGGGGGGAGAGGUUUAAGUAUUAAUCACAUCUCUGGUGUCCCUUGGUUGCAAAGAUUGGGUCCUCCAGUCCCAGGGUGUUAAGGAAAACAAGGAACUCCUGUUCUUCCUGGCAAACCUUCUGUUAUUGCUUGGCAGUGUUUGGGUUCUGUUGUCUGAGUUCCUGUCCAGGAUCUUUCUAAGAGAACCUGUUAGAAAUGUAGAGGUGGGGUUAGAAUGUGGGUGUGUUCCCUACCCAACUGCCUCCAAGUCCUGAUGGACUGGAGUGAUGAGUGCUCUCAGCCCAGGUUAUUUCUUACUAUUGUGUGGCUUUCCCUCAGCUGUGGGUGAGGAAUUGUGCCAGCAAGGCCUGUGUGCCCGUGGGUGUCUCCCGUGUGUGUCCGUGGGGCAGGGCUGGGACAAGGACUCGUGCAGGGACCCAGCUGGCACUGGAGCUGCUGCCAUUCUGAGCCACUGCCAAGGGCUGGGGAGAGACCCUCUGGGAGGCUGUUCCCAGGGUUCCAUUGGGAGCUGGAUCUCCCUCCAGCUGCAGCAGCCAGGGGAGGGUUCUUCCUUGUGCAGCCCAGUGGCUUCUGCUCAGGCUGGCCCAGAGUGGGGCUGGGGCAGGUUCUCCAGGGAACUGGAGCCAGCCCUGAACGGGGCUCUGGAGAGCAGGAGCUGCAGGGACUGAGGUUUGCAAAGCUGGGCUGAAGUUUGUCAAAGCAGCAGAACAUUCUCAUUCCUGUGGGUCUGUGGAGUCCGUGUUGGUGCCCAGGAGAACUGGGUCAGACUGGGCUUUGUGCUCCGAGAGCUGCCCCCCUAAAUGUGGCAGGCUGUGUGUGCUGGCAAUGAAGUGCUGUCCCCAGAGGCUGAUGGUUUCUGUCUCCAGGUGUGCCCAGGACGCUGCCAAUGCCCAGGGAUCUGCUCUGGGUCCAGGCUGUCCGUGCUGGAGGGCCCUGGUGGCUGCAGUCCCUGAGCCCGCAGAGACAGAGAGAGCCCCGGCCCGAGGGGCCUUUGGCCCCUUGUCCUGAAUUUGGGAGCGCCGGGGACAGUUUGGGCUUGGCAGCUUCAGAGCUGGGUCGGAGCAGCCCCUGGAAAGAAUCAGGAGAGUGGAGAUGCUGGAAUUGCCUCUCUGGCUGUGUGCUGAGCUCUGGCUGCAGGGGACUGUCAGGCCUUGGUGGCUCUGUUCCCUGCUGUCCAUUCCCUGGCCUGAAUUCCUUGCAGCUCCCAGCUGGGGAAACCUGGGAGAACAUGGCAGGGACAGAGGUGACAUUUGUAGCUGCCAACUUGGGGUAAUUUCGAGGGGCCCCAGCAACUGUUUGUGUAGGAAAAGGUGAGGUGCUGCAGAGGGGAGGGAGGUGGCAUUUUGGAGGGGUCCCACUGAGGGGGAGUGGAGAGCCUGGGGCUGGAGUGUGAGUUCUUAAACAGGGAAGAAGGGAAGGAUGCUUGGGAGGGAAACACUCAGGGAAUGUGUAGGGAUGGAAGGGAAAUUUGGGGCGUCAGGAAGAGAAAAUGGGUGAUGUAGAGGAAGGGAAAUGUUGGAGGUAAGAGUUGAUGUCAUCUGUAGAGGACAGAAUGACCAUUUAGAGAUAAAGUGAGGCAGUCAGUGGUGGGCAGGUAGGGAAAAUUUGUGUGUGUAAAAUUUCAGGUCACCUGUAGCAGAGAGGAUGUACCUCCUGCUGGACACUGAGGCAGUCAGGGGUGGGCAGGAGGGGAAACCUUUGGGGGUAAAACUUGAGGGAACGUCCAGGGCAGAGAGUGAAUAUUUUGAAGGAUAAAUGAGGUGCUCAGUGGUGGACAGCUGGGGAGUGUUUUAGGGUAAACUUGGGGUAGCCCACAGGGUAGAGAGUGAACAUGUAUUUGUAGAGAGGAGCUGAUUACAUGUGGGUAGGUAAGGAGAAUUUUGGGAGUAGAAUCUGUAGCAGAGAGAAGGAAUACCUUGGGGUAAAGUGAGGCAGUCAGUGUUGGGCAGGGAGGGAAAAUUUGUGUUUGUAAACUUUGAGGUCACGUGGAGCAGAGAGAAUGUACACCAUGAGGUAAACUGGGGUAAUCAGUUGUGGACAUAUGGGGAAAAUUACAGGGGUAAACCUUGAGGGAACGUCCAGGGCAGAGAAUGAAUAUUUUGAGGUAAAACUUUGGGGGUUUUGAACGAGGUUAUCUCCAGGGGAGAGAAAGGACAUCAGGAGGUCAACUGAGGUAAUCAGUGGUGGCCAGGUGGGGACAUUUAGGGCAGAAAUCUCUGAGGUAAUCUCCAGGGUCCAGAAUGAAUCCUGAGAGGUGCAGAGGAGGCAAUCAGGAGUGGACACCACAGCAGGCCAAGGGAAGGUUCUGGGGGUAAAAUGUGUGGCAGUGUCUGGCAGAGAGAAUGAACAUUUUGGGAUAAACUAAGGCAGUCAUCAGUGGACAGGGAAAACUUGAGAAACCCUCCAGGGUGGAGAAUGAAUAUUUGGAGGUCAAAAGGACGUAGUCAGUGGUGAGCAGGUAGGGAAAGUUUGGAGAGUAAAUUUGAGGUGGUCUGUAGGGUAGAGCAGGAACAUAUUUAGGUAUACAUGAGGGGAUCAGCUGUGGAGAGGUAGGGAAAAUUUCGGGUGUCAAACUUAAGCAAAUCUGCAGGGCAGAGAAUGAAUAUUUGGAAGUCCAAAAGAGAUAAUCAGGAGUGUGCAGGUAAGGAAGACUUAGGGGGUUAAAAAGGAGAUGAUCUCUAGGGGAGAGAAUGACUCUUUUGUGUUCAAGAAAAGGUAAUCAGGAGUGGGCUGGAAGGGGAAACUUUGGGGAUUUAAAAGGAGGUUCAUUCUCUCCGGGGCAGGGAAUGAACACAUUGAGGUAAGCUGAGGUGAUGAGUGGUGAGAGACACAGACAGUUGUGGGUGUUAAAGUUCAGGUAACCUGCUGGGAAGAGAAGGAAGGUGUUGAGGUGACCUGAGGGUCUCUGCAGUGGCCAAGCAGGGAAAUGUUGGGCUGAGCCCUGAGUUGCUCCCGUGUGGGGCGGCUGCAGCGAGGCCGAGCCCUGGCCCUGAUUUGCCAGCCAUGGGCAGGGGGCUCUGUGCCAGCCGGGGGAGCAGCGGGGCCCCCGUGGCAGAGAGGGCAGGGGGGCUGUGGAGCUGCCCCGGGGGGAGCGGGGGGGCCUUUCCUGGGCCGCCUCCAGCCCCCCUCGAUCCCCCCCCUUGGGGGGGCUGCGCUGCCCCCCAAGGCUGUUUGGGGCAGAGAGUGCUGCCAGCUGCGUGUGCCUGUCCCCAGCCUGGCACUGCCCACAGGGACACACUGGGCACAGACCAUUGGCCCAAGUUGUGUUUGCACCAGCUGGGGCCAGAGGUGCCAGGCAAUCCAAAGCAAACCCUGCUCAGCCUCCAAAUCCCAGGGGAAGUUCUCCAAGCUGCUCAUUGAGGGACUAAAGAUACAUUGAAAUGGAACCGAGACACUACUAAGUUUCCUGGGAAUCCCAGUAUUGCUGUCCUAGAACUUUUAACAGCUUUUUAAGCUUUUUAUGACAAGAAUGGCUUUCUUCCUUUGGAUGAGUCCCUCGGUAGGAUUUGGGGUUUCUUUGGAUUCUGAAUCCCUCCCGGUGGCCCUGACACUGGUCAGGAGCUGGCAGGACAAACAGAGUCAGAGCUCCUGGCAGGCACAGGGGCUUUCCCCCAGAGUGGAUCCAACUGCUGCCCCCCAGCCUGGCCAGGCGGGAUCUGCUUUGGCUCCCGGCUUCUGCCAGAGACAGAACGUGUUCCCUUGAUUGGAAUGAGGAUCCCGUAGCUUCAUCUCCUGGAGGUUCCCUGGGCAGCUGAUCCGCUCUAUCCCGUGUCCUGCUCUCAGUUCCUGCCCAGCCAGAGCCAACUGUGCCAAGGGCACGAGCACUCCCAGCCUGGAUAGGGAAUGGGGGACUGGCUUGUGCACAAUUCACCUAGAAAGUCAAACGAGGGGAUUGUUGGAGUAUCUGGUUCCUUAGGGAACCUGCUGGGAGUAGAGAAGCACAGCCCCAAACCUCCAGCUGUGGGUGGAGUCGUGGAACGUAAACCAGCACAAACCAAUCCCCCAAAAUGAACCGUGGGAGAGCAGGACCAAAUAAGGGUCAGAGUCCCUGUGGAAAGGCCAAAGGAAUCUUUUGGGACUUGGAUUGUCCCCUUGGGAGAUGCUGGUUUCUGGGACAUAGAGAAUGCCCUCCCUCAGGCUGCCAAGAUCUCUCAGUGCAGCAGCUUUGGCCGACACAGCAGCACAAAGAUUGUUCUCUGCGGGGGGCCCAGGUUUGGGUUCCGGUCUCAGCUUUGCAGGUUUAGAUGACUUCUACCUACAGCCCGCAAUUCCAUGCUGAAUUCCUGCUGGAAUAACCUCCCAGUGUCUCCUGGAGCUCAGAUACUCCCCUGCAGAGCUGCCGCUUUAACACCAGGUUUGCCAGGAAGCAGCCACGGUUCCAGGUUUGCUCAGCGGGAUCGGGACAAGGACAGGUUGAUGUUGCACAGACUUUGCUGUUUGUAACCCUCCUGCCCCGGCCCCGCCGGUGUCCCUGGGGGGACUUGAGCGAGUUCCCUGGAAUUCGGCCGGUUUUCCGCCCCGGGCCGGGCUCCAGGGGAUGGGUUGGCCCAGGAGAAGGCGGGGGCCGGACGCGCUCCCGGCCCGGGGCGAGGCAGCCCCUGAGCACGGGCGAGGACGUCUCUCCGGCCGGGAAGCCGCUGUCCCUUCGGAGCCUCGGGAGCGGCCCCGGGGAGUUCUUUUCCCCGAGCAAAGGGAUGCACGUGCGGCUGAGGAGCCGCGGGCAGCCCUUUCCCCGUGCCCACCCCACGGGGGCUGUAGGGCACAGCUCCAGGGCACAGCUCCUCCAUCCCCCGGCAAUAGGAAGCCCAAGCAGGGCUGGGUCACUCUCUGUCGCUCCGGCCUCCUCCCGGCCCGCGUUCCCUGCCCAGCUGGGACUGCCCAGGGAGCCCCGAGAACAUUCCUGGCGGGAAGCAGGAGCCGCCGAAGGCUCCGUCCAACUCCGGGCCCGAAAAGCGGCCCCGACCUGAGCCCCCCCCCCGCAUUUUGGGUUCCCAAGGCUCACCUGGAGGAGACGCCCCCCCGCAGGCGGGACCAGGCGGCGACACUCGACCAACGCCUUUGCCUCGGAGCAAAGGAUUCCUCUGGGCUUAUUAGGCUCAUUUAUCCCUGGAAAAAGACGUUGUACGAGCACCUUUGCAACCAUUGGAUGAAUCCUGAACGGGGCCGGCAAACCUCCCUGAGCAGGGCAGUGAUGAAUUGGUGCCCGUCCCCAGCCGGGCACAGCCCAGCCGGCCGCGCUCCCUCCGGCCCGUGGCUGGGAAGGGGGGAUUUAAUGCUGCAGAGAUUUAAUAAAAGCGGAUUUCCUGACUGUA